rnacentral:rRNA from 1 species
UGUUAAGCGAGGUGCGGUGGCCGGGGUAAGACGUAGCGGGCGUGCGUGUGCCGGAUUGAUUGGGCGUAAAGGGCGUGUGGGCGGCCUGGUAGGUCUGCUGUGAAAACUCGAGGCUCAACCUCGAGAUGUCGGCUGAAACCAUCUGGCUAGAGUCCGGAAGAGGAGAGUGGAAUUCCUGGUGUAGCGGUGAAAUGCGCAGAUAUCAGGAAGAACACCUAUGGCGAAGGCAGCUCUCUGGGACGGUACUGACGCUGAGACGCGAAAGCGUGGGGAGCGAACAGGAUUAGAUACCCGUGUAGUC